AUGGUUCUCACCCUUGAGGAGAUGAUAGACUGGUACUGGAGAGAAACGACAUAGAAGUAACCAAACCAAAUUUAUGAUUUUUACAGUUUCUGUUCUUCUGAGGAAGACACCUUCCGAGGAGAUGUCAGCUAGGCUGAGAUCUGAAAGAUGAGAAAGUUUUAAUCAUAUAAGCGACAAGAGGAGGGGAAUUCCAGACAGAGAGCCUCCUGAAAACCCAGCGGGGGGAUGGUGACCUUCUGAGGAAGUGGAAAGGCAGAGUGUCCUCGUGAGUCAUUGUGGACCCGGUGGAAACGGCCGGAGGUGGAGUCAGAAAGCAGUGAAACAGCCUUUGAUGCCGCACCAGAGGUGGGAUGUCAGCCUAGAAGGCGGGGCCUUGUUGGAAGCACUGAAGUCCCCCUUUCCGUCCUGCGCAGUUACAUCUACUCCCGACACGUCCAGGCCAGCCUAACUUCGGCCGCGGGGCUUGUCCUUUUGGUGUGACGUAAAAAGAGACCAUUCGUGGAUUCAGGAUCAAUAGUCACCCUGAAAAGACAGAUCACUUAGGUUGAAAUAAGUGUUUUUUAAGCCUGUGUGGGAAGAAAAUGUGUAAAGAGAGUUCACGGCAUCCUCCUCUUCUGAAAAACAUGAGGAACCCCAACCUGUUAGCAGCGUCCUGUAUGCUGGAAAACAAACAUGUGCCAAAGUGUACAAAAGGCUCAAACCUGGAAACCACCCGAUGUGCUUCCGCAGGAGAGUGGAUAAAUAAACGAGGGUAAGUUCACAUAAAAGAGAAUAAUACAGCACAGACGGCCAGGCACUGAGCGGCGUGUAACACCAGUGGCAAUAUAAUGUGAAAGUAAAAGGUUAAGAAGAGGCAAAAUAUUUCCAUUUCCAUUUGAGGGGUGUACAGACCAUGAAGCCACAGCAAAACAGAAGUAAGGGGUUCCGGAUGGUGUUUAUGUUAGGCUGCCCGGGGGCAGUGAUAGGAUGGAGACGGAGGAACCGCAGUUUUGGAUGCAGAUGACUGGCCUCAUUUGAGCUCCAUUUGCACGGUAGGGAUCUGC